GCGCCAGACUCCUACGGGAGGCAGCAGUGGGGAAUAUUGCACAAUGGGGGAAACCCUGAUGCAGCGACGCCGCGUGAGGGAAGAAGGUUUUCGGAUUGUAAACCUCUGUCUUUGGUGACGAAAGAUGACGGUAGCCAAAGAGGAAGCUACGGCUAACUACGUGCCAGCAGCCGCGGUAAUACGUAGGGGGCAAGCGUUAUCCGGAUUUACUGGGUGUAGAGGGAGCGUAGACGGCAGUGCAAGUCUGAAGUGAAAGCCCCGGGCUUAACCCGGGAACUGCUUUGGAAACUGUACGGCUGGAGUGCUGGAGAGGUAAGCGGAAUUCCUAGUGUAGCGGUGAAAUGCGUAGAUAUUAGGAGGAACACCAGUGGCGAAGGCGGCUUACUGGACAGUAACUGACGUUGAGGCUCGAAAGCGUGGGGAGCAAACAGGAUUAGAUACCCCAGUA
rnacentral:rRNA from 1 species